UAGAUACCCUGGUAGUCCCAGCUGUAAACGAUGGCAACUAGAUGUGGGAGGUAUCGACCCCUUCCGUGUCGUCGCUAACGCUUUAAGUUGCCCGCCUGGGGAGUACGGCCGCAAGGUUAAAACUCAAAGGAAUUGACGGGGGCCCGCACAAGCGGUGGAGCAUGUGGUUUAAUUCGACGCUACGCGAAGAACCUUACCUGGGCUCGAACGACUAGUAGUAGUCCUUUUGAAAGAGAGGGCGACCCGCAAG
rnacentral:rRNA from 1 species